GAGUAGUAAUACGUACGUAUGGCGACAUGUACGGCGAGUCUUACUAACAUAGAAGAGGAAAGAGAGAGAAAGAGAAAGGGAGAGAUAUUAAUAGGAUUGAUCAACGUAUUUACCGUCGAUGACCCGGCCAGAGGUGCCCGAGGCGGCGGAGCCUGGACAUAUCGUAGUGAUUGGGAUCAAUACGCUUAACCACACUACCACGCAAUAACACCCCUGCUUGUCCCCCUUUGCCUCCAUCGACCUCGGUAUCUC